ensembl:lncRNA
AUGGAGGGACGGACGGACGGACGGACGGACGGAGAGAAAAACAGCAAGGAAACAAGGAAGAAGGAAAGCCAGGCAGAGAGAUGGAGGGACGGACAGACGGACGGAGAGAAAAACAGCAAGGAAACAAGGAAGAAGGAAAGCCAGGCAGACAGACGGACAGACGGACGGAUGGACGGACGGAGAGAAAAAAACAGCAAGGAAGAAGGAAAGCCAGGCAGAGAGAUGAAGGGAGGGACGGAGAGAAAAACAGCAAGGAAACAAGGAAGAAGGAAAGCCAGGCAGAGAGAUGAAGGGAGGGACGGAGAGAAAAACAGCAAGGAAACAAGGAAGAAGGAAAGCCAGGCAGAGAGAUGGAGGGAUGGACAGACGGACGGAGAGAAAAACAGCAAGGAAACAAGGAAGAAGGAAAGCCAGGCAGAGAGAUGGAGGGACGGACAGACGGACGGAGAGAAAAACAGCAAGGAAACAAGGAAGAAGGAAAGCCAGGCAGACAGACGGACAGACGGACGGAUGGACGGACGGAGAGAAAAAAACAGCAAGGAAGAAGGAAAGCCAGGCAGAGAGAUGGAGGGACGGACAGACGGACGGAGAGAAAAACAGCAAGGAAACAAGGAAGAAGGAAAGCCAGGCAGAGAGACGAAGGGAGGGACAGACGGACGGAGAGAAAAACAGCAAGGAAACAAGGAAGAAGGAAAGCCAGGCAGAGAGACGGACAGAUGGACGGAUGGAUGGACGGAGAGAAAAAAACAGCAAGGAAGAAGGAAAGCCAGGCAGAGAGAUGGAGGGACGGACAGACAGAGAGAAAAACAGCAAGGAAACAAGGAAGAAGGAAAGCCAGGCAGAGAGACGGACAGACGGACGGAUGGACGGACGGAGAGAAAAAAACAGCAAGGAAGAAGGAAAGCCAGGCAGAGAGAAGGAGGGAGGGAGGCGGCAGAGGGCUGCACGGACGGACGGAUUGAUAUGGAAUACAUGAAACGACAAGACUCCUUUGGAAGUUGGGGAAAAUCUAGAGCAGGACAGAAGAGCUGCCCCGCUCUCUUCCUGCACAAGGAGGCCCAGAGAGGCCCCGCAGAGCCUGGCCUUGGGACAGACACAGAGCUGGCCCAAGAGGAGCCGGCCCUUCUGCCUCCCAGCACCCUCGGGAGCCAGGCACUGGCAUCGCCCAAACACAAUGUACUUUCCGCGUGA